GAUUAUCAACAGAACUGACUACUGCUGCUGCUGCUGCUGCUGCUGCUGCUGCUGCUGCUGCUGCUGCUGCUGCUGCUGCUGCUGCUGCUGCUGCUGCUGCUGCUGCUGCUGCUGCUGCUGCUGCUGCUGCUGCUGCUGCUGCUGCUGCUGCUGCUGCUGCUGUAAAGAAAAUUGAUGGAUUAUAUGAGACUGUGAACAAAAUCUUCGAGUUGGUAUGUAU